rnacentral:rRNA from 1 species
GAUGAACGCUGGCGGCGUGCCUAAUACAUACAAGUCGAGCGAACGGACGAGAAGCUUGCUUCUCUGAUGUUAGCGGCGGACGGGUGAGUAACACGUGGAUAACCUACCUAUAAGACUGGGAUAACUUCGGGAAACCGGGGCUAAUACCGGAUGAUAUUUUGAACCGCAUGGUUCAAAAGUGAAAGACGGUCUUGCUGUCACUUAUAGAUGGAUCCGCGCUGCAUUAGCUAGUUGGUAAGGUAACGGCUUACCAAGGCAACGAUGCAUAGCCGACCUGAGAGGGUGAUCGGCCACACUGGAACUGAGACACGGUCCAGACUCCUACGGGAGGCAGCAGUAGGGAAUCUUCCGCAAUGGGCGAAAGCCUGACGGAGCAACGCCGCGUGAGUGAUGAAGGUCUUCGGAUCGUAAAACUCUGUUAUUAGGGAAGAACAUAUGUGUAAGUAACUGUGCACAUCUUGACGGUACCUAAUCAGAAAGCCACGGCUAACUACGUG